rnacentral:tRNA from 1 species
UAUGGCGUGAUAUGUGGUGAAAAUAGACUGUUAAUCAAUUGGUCGUAGGUUCGAUCCCUACCGCCGGAGCCA